rnacentral:rRNA from 1 species
AGCAGCCGCGGUAAUUCCAGCUCCAAUAGCGUAUAUUAAAGUUGUUGCAGUUAAAAAGCUCGUAGUUGAAUUUCGGGAUUAGUAAGUUGGUCGUGCCUCUGGUAUGUACUGGCUUUACUGAUUCCUCCUUCUUGAAGAACUGUAAUGUCAUUAAUUUGGUGUUGCAGGGAAACAGGACUGUUACUUUGAAAAAAUUAGAGUGUUUAAAGCAGGCUAACGCUUGAAUACAUUAGCAUGGAAUAAUGAAAUAGGACGUUUGAUCCUAUUUUGUUGGUUUCUAGGAUUGACGUAAUGAUUAAUAGGGAUAGUUGGGGGCAUUAGUAUUCAAUUGUCAGAGGUGAAAUUCUUGGAUUUAUUGAAGACUAACUACUGCGAAAGCAUUUGCCAAGGAUGUUUUCAUUAAUCAAGAACGAAAGUUAGGGGAUCGAAGACGAUCACAUACCGUCGUAGUCUUACCAUAAACUAUGCCGACUACGGAUCGGAGGAUGAUGAUAAUUUUUUAAUGACUCA